rnacentral:rRNA from 1 species
UACGGAGGAUGCAAGCGUUAUCCGGAUUUAUUGGGCGUAAAGCGUCCGCAGGUGGUUUUCCAAGUCUGCUGUUAAAGCGCGAGGCUUAACCUCGUACAGGCAGUGGAAACUGGAUGACUGGAGUAUGGUAGGGGUAGCGGGAAUUCCCAGUGUAGCGGUGAAAUGCGUAGAUAUUGGGAAGAACACCAGCGGCGAAAGCGCGCUACUGGGCCAUUACUGACACUCAUGGACGAAAGCUAGGGGAGCGAAAGGG